GACCCAAAUUUGAGGUAGAGUAGAUAAGAGGGAUCACUGACCCUACUGAACUACUUUACUUCGAGUUUGUGCCC
rnacentral:pre_miRNA from 1 species